GAGUUCGGUGUUGCCGUUCAGUUGACUCAAGAAAGUAUGCAAUUUGGGACGGAUGGAACUCAGCCGUCGAGCUUGCCUGAGACACAACCGUGGGAAUAAGUCAGUUGAUGGGGGAUGGUCUGAUUCCAGUUAAAGUAGCUAAUUUUGGUAGAUUACCUGCAGUUUUUAACAAAAGUGGCCGAGUAUUGCUUCAACAAGAUUUCAGGUUGGAUCAGUUCGUCUGACAAUAUUUGUACAAAAGUAGCCGAGUAAGGUGAUGGACAUAU